UACAGGUUAGGAUAGGGGACAGGAUAGGGUACAGGUUAGGGUACAGGUUAGGAUAGGGUACAGGUUAGGGUUACAGGUUAGGAUAGGGGACAGGAUAGGGUACAGGUUAUGGUUACAGGGGACAGGUUACACGGUACAGGUUAGGGUUAGGGUUAGGAUAGGGGACAGGUUAGGGUUAUAGUGGACAGGUUAGGGUUACAGGUUAGGAUAGGGGACGGGUUAGGGUUAUAGUGGACAGUUUAGGGUUACAGGUUAGGAUAGGGGACAGGUUAGGGUUAUAGUGGACAGGUUAGGGUUACAGGUUAGGAUAGGGGACAGGUUAGGGUUAUAGGGGACAGGUUAGGGUUACAGUGGAAAGGUUAGGAUAGGAUACAGGUUAGGGUUACAGUGGACAUGUUAGGGUUACAGUGGACAGGUUAGGGUUAGGGUUAUAGUGGACAGGUUAGGGUUACAGUGGACAGGUUAGGGUUACCGUGGACAGGUUAGUGUUAGGGUUACAGUGGACAGGUUAGGGUUACAGUGGACAGGUUAGGGUUACAGUGGACAGGUUAGGGUUACAAUGGACAGGUUAGGGUUACAGUGGACAGGUUAGGGGUUAUAGUGGACAGGUUAGGGUUACAGUGGACAGGUUAGGGUUACCGUGAACAGGUUAGGGUUACAGUGGACAGGUUAGGGUUACAAUGGACAGGUUAGGGUUACAGUGGACAUGUUAGGGUUACAGUGGACAGGUUAGGGUUAGGGUUAUAGUGGACAUGUUAGGGUUACAGUGGACAGGUUAGGGUUAGGGUUAUAGUGGACAGGUUAGGGUUAUAGGGGACAGGUUAGGGUUACAGUGGACAGGUCAGGGUUACAGUGGACAGGUUAGGGUUACAGUUGACAGGUUAGGGUUACAGUGGACAGGUUAGGGUUACAGUGGACAGGUUAGGGUUACAGUGGACAAGUUAGGGUUACAGUGGACAGGUUAGGGUUACAGUUGACAGGUUAGGGUUACAGUGGACAUGUUGGGGUUACAGUGGACAGGUUAGUGUUAGGGUUAUAGUGAACAGGUUAGGGUUACAGUGGACAGGUUAGGGUUACAGUGGACAGGUUAGGGUUACAGUGGACAGGUUAGGGUUACAGUGGACAGGUUAGGGUUACAGUGGACAGGUUAGGGUUACAGUGGACAGGUUAGGGUUAGGGUUAUAGUGGACAGGUUAGGGUUACAGUGGACAGGUUAGGGUUACAGUUGACAGGUUAGGGUUAUAGUGAACAGGUUAGGGUUACAGUGGACAGGUUAGGGUUAGGGUAUAUGUUGGGGUGCAGGUUAGGCUACAGGUUAGGGUACAGGUUAGAUGUAGGGUACAGGUUAGGGUUACAGUGGAAAUGAAGAGGACAGCUCACAGAUAAUUUAAUGUUGUUAUCCAAUUGUCUUAAAUAACCAACUUCCUCAUUCUGCUAUUGUCCUCAUAAGUGACUAACUUGCUCAUUCUGCUGUUAUCCUCAUAAAUGAACAACUUCCUCAUUCUGCUGUUGUCCUCGUAAAUGAACAACCUCCUCAUUCUGCUCUUGUCCUCAUUCUGCUGUUGUCCUCCUAAGUGACUAACUUCCUCAUUCUGCUGUUGUCCUCAUUCUGCUUUUGUCCUCAUAAGUGACUAAAUUCCUCAUUCUGCUGUUGUCCUCAUAAGAGACUAACUUCCUCAUUCUGCUGUUGUCCUCAUAAGAGACUAACUUCAUCAUUCUGCUGUUGACCUCAUAAGAGACUAACUUCCUCAUUCUGCUGUUGACCUCAUAAGUGACUAACUUUCUCAUUCUGCUGUUGUCCUCAUUCUGCUGUUGUCCUCAUAAGAGACUAACUUCCUCAUUCUGCUGUUGACCUCAUAAGAGGCUAACUUCCUCAUUCUGCUGUUGUCCUCAUUCUGCUGUUGUCCUCAUAGGUGACUAACUUCCUCAUUCUGCUGUUGUCCUCAUUCUGCUGUUGUCCUCAUAAGUGACUAACUUCCUCAUUCUGCUGCUGUCCUCAUUCUGCUGUUGUCCUCAUAGGUGACUAACUUCCUCAUUCUGCUGUUGUCCUCAUUCUGCUGUUGUCCUCAUAAGUGACUAACUUCCUCAUUCUGCUGCUGUCCUCAUUCUGCUGUUGUCCUCAUUAAUGAACAACUUCCUCAUUCUGCUGUUGUCCUCAUUCUGCUGUUGUCCUCAUAAGAGACUAACUUCCUCAUUCUGCUGUUGACCUCAUAAGAGACUAACUUCCUCAUUCUGCUGUUGUCCUCAUUCUGCUGUUGUCCUCAUUCUGCUGUUGUCCUCAUAAGUGACUAACUUCCCCAUUCUGCUGUUGUCCUCAUAUGUGAACAAGUUCCUCAUUCUGCUGAUGUCCUCAUUCUGCUGUUGUCCUCAUAAGUGUCUAACUUCCUCAUUCUGCUCUUGUCCUCAUUCUGCUGUUGUCCUCGUAAAUGAACAACUUCCUCAUUCUGCUCUUGUCCUCAUAAAUGAACAACCUCCUCAUUCUGCUGUUGUCCUCAUAAUUGACUAACUUCCUCAUUCUGCUGUUGUCCUCAUAAAUGAACAACCUCCUCAUUCUGCUGUUGUCCUCAUAAAUGAACAACCUCCUCAUUCUGCUGUUGUCCUCAUUAAUGAACAACUUCCUCAUUCUGCUGUUGUCCUCAUUCUGCUGUUGUCCUCAUAAGAGACUAACUUCCUCAUUCUGCUGUUGUCCUCAUUCUGCUGUUGUCCUCAUUCUGCUCUUGUCCUCGUAAGUGACUAACUUCCCCAUUCUGCUGUUGUCCUCAUAUGUGAACAACUUCCUCAUUCUGCUGUUGUCCUCAUUCUGCUGUUGUCCUCAUAAGUGUCUAACUUCCUCAUUCUGCUCUUGUCCUCAUUCUGCUGUUGUCCUCAUAAAUGAACAACUUCCUCAUUCUGCUGUUGUCCUCAUUCUGCUCUUGUCCUCAUUCUGCUGUAGUCCUCAUAAGAGACUAACUUCCUCAUUCUGCUGUUGUCCUCAUUCUGCUGUUGUCCUCAUAAAUGAACAACCUCCUCAUUCUGCUGUUGUCCUCAUAAUUGACUAACUUCCUCAUUCUGCUGCUGUUCUCAUAAGUGACUAACUUCCUCAUUCUGCUGUUGUCCUCAUAAGUGACUAACUUCCUCAUUCUGCUGUUGUCCUCAUUCUGCUGUUGUCCUCAUAGGUGACUAACUUCCUCAUUCUGCUGUUGUCCUCAUUCUGCUGUUGUCCUCAUAAGUGACUAACUUCCUCAUUCUGCUGCUGUCCUCAUUCUGCUGUUGUCCUCAUUAAUGAACAACUUCCUCAUUCUGCUGUUGUCCUCAUUCUGCUGUUGUCCUCAUAAGAGACUAACUUCCUCAUUCUGCUGUUGACCUCAUAAGAGACUAACUUCCUCAUUCUGCUGUUGUCCUCAUUCUGCUGUUGUCCUCAUUCUGCUGUUGUCCUCAUAAGUGACUAACUUCCCCAUUCUGCUGUUGUCCUCAUAUGUGAACAAGUUCCUCAUUCUGCUGAUGUCCUCAUUCUGCUGUUGUCCUCAUAAGUGUCUAACUUCCUCAUUCUGCUCCUGUCCUCAUUCUGCUGUUGUCCUCGUAAAUGAACAACUUCCUCAUUCUGCUCUUGUCCUCAUAAAUGAACAACCUCCUCAUUCUGCUGUUGUCCUCAUAAUUGACUAACUUCCUCAUUCUGCUGUUGUCCUCAUAAAUGAACAACCUCCUCAUUCUGCUGUUGUCCUCAUAAAUGAACAACCUCCUCAUUCUGCUGUUGUCCUCAUUCUGCUGUUGUCCUCAUAGGUGACUAACUUCCUCAUUCUGCUGUUGUCCUCAUAAAUGAACAACCUCCUCAUUCUGCUGUUGUCCUCAUUCUGCUGUUGUCCUCAUAAUUGACUAACUUCCUCAUUCUGCUGUUGUCCUCAUUCUGCUGUUGUUCUCAUAAGUGACUAACUUCCUCAUUCUGCUGUUGUCCUCAUUCUGCUGUUGUCCUCAUAGGUGACUAACUUCCUCAUUCUGCUGUUGUCCUCAUUCUGCUGUUGUUCUCAUAAGUGACUAACUUCCUCAUUCUGCUGCUGUCCUCAUUCUGCUGUUGUCCUCAUUAAUGAACAACUUCCUCAUUCUGCUGUUGUCCCCAUUCUGCUGUUGUCCUCAUAUGUGAACAAGUUCCUCAUUCUGCUGUUGUCCUCAUUCUGCUGUUGUCCUCAUAAGUGUCUAACUUCCUCAUUCUGCUCUUGUCCUCAUUCUGCUGUUGUCCUCAUCAAUGAACAAUUUCCUCAUUCUGCUGUUGUCCUCAUAAGAGACUAACUUCCUCAUUCUGCUGUUGUCCUCAUAAGUGACUAACUUCCUCAUUCUGCUGUUGUCCUCAUAAAUGAACAACCUCCUCAUUCUGCUGUUGUCCUCAUAAGAGACUAACUUCCUCAUUCUGCUGUUGACCUCGUAAGAGACUAACUUCCUCAUUCUGCUUUUGUCCUCAUUCUGCUGUUGUCCUCAUAAGUGACUAACUUCCCCAUUCCCCAUUCUCAUAUGUGAACAACCUCCUCAUUCCCAUGUACUGUACAUCUAAUAAACAGAGUUAGUAAAGAUUUGUAUUAUC